rnacentral:tRNA from 2 species
CGGGACGUAGCGCAGUUGGCUUAGCGCACCUGCCUUGGGAGCAGGGGGUCGCCAGUUCAAAUCUGGCCGUCCCGACCA